CCUACGGGAGGCAGCAGUCGAGAAUCAUUCACAAUGGGGGAAACCCUGAUGGUGCGACGCCGCGUGGGGGAAUGAAGGUCUUCGGAUUGUAAACCCCUGUCAUGUGGGAGCAAAUUAAAAAGAUAGUACCACAAGAGGAAGAGACGGCUAACUCUGUGCCAGCAGCCGCGGUAAUACAGAGGUCUCAAGCGUUGUUCGGAAUCACUGGGCGUAAAGCGUGCGUCGGCUGUUUCGUAAGUCGUGUGUGAAAGGCGCGGGCUCAACCCGCGGACGGCACAUGAUACUGCGAGACUAGAGUAGUGGAGAGGGAACCGGAAUUCUCGGUGUAGCAGUGAAAUGCGUAGAUAUCGAGAAGAACACUCGUGGCGAAGGCAGGUUCCUGGACAUUAACUGACGCUGAGGCACGAAGGCCAGGGGAGCGAAAGGGAUUAGAUACCCCGGUAGUC
rnacentral:rRNA from 1 species